rnacentral:rRNA from 1 species
AACGAACGCUGGCGGCAGGCCUAACACAUGCAAGUCGAGCGCCCUUUCGGGGGAGCGGCGGACGGGUGAGUAACGCGUGGGAAUAUGCCCUUCUCUACGGAAUAGCCUCGGGAAACUGAGAGUAAUACCGUAUACGCCCUGUGGGGGAAAGAUUUAUCGGGGAAGGAUUAGCCCGCGUUGGAUUAGGUAGUUGGUGGGGUAAUGGCCUACCAAGCCGACGAUCCAUAGCUGGUUUGAGAGGAUGAUCAGCCACACUGGGACUGAGACACGGCCCAGACUCCUACGGGAAGCAGCAGUGGGGAAUCUUAGACAAUGGGGGCAACCCUGAUCUAGCCAUGCCGCGUGAGUGAUGAAGGCCUUAGGGUUGUAAAGCUCUUUCAGCUGGGAAGAUAAUGACGGUACCAGCAGAAGAAGCCCCGGCUAACUCCGUG